AUUGAACGCUGGCGGCAGGCCUAACACAUGCAAGUCGAGCGGAGCGGCGGACGGGUGAGUAAUACCUAGGAAUCUGCCUGGUAGUGGGGGAUAACGUUCGGAAACGGACGCUAAUACCGCAUACUAUCAGAUGAGCCUAGGUCGGAUUAGCUAGUUGGUGAGGUAAUGGCUCACCUAGGCGACGAUCCCUAGCUGGUCUGAGAGGAUGACCAGCCACACUGGAACUGAGACACGGUCCAGACGCCUACGGGAGGCAGCAGUGGGGAAUAUUGCACAAUUGGCGCAAGCCUGAUGCAGCCAUGCCGCGUGUAUGAAGAAGGCCUUCGGGUUGUAAAGUACUUUCAGCGGGGAGGCGUUACCCGCAGAAGAAGCACCGGCUAACUCCGUGCCAGCCGCCGCGGUAAUAC
rnacentral:rRNA from 1 species